rnacentral:rRNA from 1 species
GAUGAACGCUGGCGGCAUGCUUAAUACAUGCAAGUCGGACGGGCAGUGGUGUUUCUUGUGGCGGUCGCGUUAGCAACGCGCAAGAACCUGCCCUUGGGAUGGGCACAAUAGCAGGAAACGGCUGCUUAUACACCCCGGGCCUAGGACCAAAUGGUGUAAUCCGCCCGAGGGGGGGCUUGUGUCUGAUUAGCUAGUUGGUGCGGCAAUAGCUUACCACGGCGAUGAACAGUAGAUGGUCCGAGAGGAUGAACAGCCACACUGGGACUGAGCCACGGCCCAGACUCCUACGGGAGGCAGCAGUAGGGAAGACGGCGCAAUGGGCGAAAGCCUGACGAGGCAAUGGCGCGUGGAGGUAGAAGGACCACGGAUCGUGAACUGCUUUUCCCGGAGAGGAAGCAAUGACGGUAUCUGGGGAAUAAGCAACGGCUAACUCUGUG